rnacentral:rRNA from 1 species
CCUACGAGUGACAGCAGUGGGGAAUAUUGCACAAUGGGGGAAACCCUGAUGCCGCGACGCCGCGUGAAGGAUGAAGUAUUUCGUUAUGUACACUUCUAUCAGCAGGGAAGACAAUGACGGUACCUGACUAAGAAUCCCCGGCUAACUACGUGCCAGCAGCCGCGGUAAUACGUAGGGGGCAAGCUGUAUCCGGUUUUACUGGGUGUAAAGGGAGCGUAGACGGCAUGGCAAGUCUGAUGUGAAAACCCGGGGCUCAACCCCGGGACUGCAUUGGACACUGUCAGGCUAGAGUGUCGGAGAGGCAAGUGGAAUGCCUAGUGUAGCGGUGAAAUGCGUAGAUAGUAGGAGGAACACCAGUGGCGAAGGCGGCUUGCUGGACGAUGACUGACGUUGAGGCUCGAAAGCGUGGGGAGCAAACAGGAUUAGAUACCCUUGUAGUC